CGAGCCUAGGAGUAAAAAGUAAUUUCCGCAGAUUGAAGAACGAAAAAGUAAUUUCCUUAGAGGAGACUGUUCGGCGCGGCGGUGCCGCCCUCGUCCGGCGGCCAUGACCUGAGCUCUGCCCCGGCAGUUCCCCGUGAGGACGAGGCUUCCAUUCGUGGCGGCUCGGAUUUCGACACGCGUGCUCGGCGGACGGGUGCCGGAGGAUAGGGCAGCAAGGUCAAGCCACGCGCGGUGCGAUUCCGAGCAUCAGGUGCCGCAGGUUUGGCAUGGAUGAUGCUAAAGCGGGUGGAAAAGAGCCCCUUAUCUGAUUGUUGGCGAGUUGGAUACUCGUCAGGGUCAUCAACGCCGUGAAGUUGAGGGUGCCGAGAUCUCCUCUCAGCCGCAGCCCCCGGAGCGAGAUCUCGACGAUCACAUCUUGGUGGCUUGCUUCAUGUUUGCUGCACCUGAUGCCAUGCCAGCUGCACGGCCAUAUAUUGUUUUCCCAAGAUUGCAGCUGGUCUGCAUGACUCUCUAGAGUGGCUUUCCAGGCGAGGAGAGCUCCGGCUUGUUCUUCCAGGGAUGGCACUGGCAUGGCUUGGGGAAUCCAGGCCAGUAGCAGAGUAAAUGAGAUGAGCUUCAGCUUCAGUGUAUGGGAGGUCUUCAUUGCUAGUCGCAUUGCAGGAGUAGCUAGCUAUAGUAGGGUUUUGUUCUUGGUGUAUGCCUGGGAAAGCCUCACGGAGUGACCAGUGUUUAUUUUUUUGGACAAAAGUGACCAGUAUAUAUAUGUGCACGAUCUGGCACUUUCGUU